rnacentral:rRNA from 1 species
UACGGAGGGGGCUAGCGUUGCUCGGAAUUACUGGGCGUAAAGCGCACGUAGGCGGCUUUGCAAGUUAGAGGUGAAAGCCCAGGGCUUAACCCUGUAAUUGCCUUUAAAACUGCAUCGCUAGAAUUGUGGAGAGGUAAGUGGAAUUCCGAGUGUAGAGGUGAAAUUCGUAGAUAUUCGGAAGAACACCAGUGGCGAAGGCGACUUACUGGACACAUAUUGACGCUGAGGUGCGAAAGCGUGGGGAGCAAACAGG